CUACGGGGUGCAGCAGGCGCGAAAACUUUACAAUGCUGGCAACAGCGAUAAGGGAACCUCGAGUGCCAGGUUACAAAUCUGGCUGUCGAGAUGCCUAAAAAGCAUUUCAUAGCAAGGGCCGGGCAAGACCGGUGCCAGCCGCCGCGGUAACACCGGCGGCUCGAGUGGUAACCGUUAUUAUUGGGUCUAAAGGGUCUGUAGCCGGCCGGAUAAGUCUCUUGAGAAAUCUGGCAGCUUAACUGUCAGGCUUUCAGGAGAUACUGUCUGGCUCGAGGCCGGGAGAGGUGAGAGGUACUUCAGGGGUAGGGGUGAAAUCUUGUAAUCCUUGAAGGACCACCAGUGGCGAAGGCGUCUCACCAGAACGGACCUGACGGCAAGGGACGAAAGCUAGGGGCACGAACCGGAUUAGAUACCCGGGUAGUCCUAGCCGUAAACGAUACUCGCUAGGUGUCGGCCACGGUGCGACCGUUGUCGGUGCCGUAGGGAAGCCGUGAAGCGAGC
rnacentral:rRNA from 1 species